rnacentral:rRNA from 1 species
GAUGAACGCACAAGACGUGCCUAACACAUGCAAAUCGAAUGAAAACAAUUUAAUUAAAUUGUUUUCAUGGUGAACGGGUGAGUAACACAUAAGAAUCAGCUUUUAGAUAAGGCAUAAAAGAGUAAUAUCUUGGUAAUUCCUUAUAUGCGCAGCAGUGCUUAAAAAGGGGACUCCCGUCUAAAAACGAGCUUAUGCCUGAUUAGCUAGUUGGCGAGUUAAAAGCUCACCAAGGCGAAGAUCAGUAGCUGGCCUGAGAGGGCGGCCAGCCACAUUGGGACUGAGACACGGCCCAAACUCCUACGGGAGGCAGCAGUGGGGAAUAUUGCACAAUGGGCGCAAGCCUGAUGCAGCCAUGCCGCGUGUGUGAAGAAGGCCUUCGGGUUGUAAAGCACUUUCAGUCGUGAGGAAGGUAGUGUAGUUAAUAGCUGCAUUAUUUGACGUUAGCGACAGAAGAAGCACCGGCUAACUCCGUGCCAGCCGCCGCCGUAACAC